UGGCUCAGGACGAACGCUGGCGGCGUGCUUAAUACAUGCAAGUCAACUUGACUUUAGAUAGCAAUAUCGAAAAGUAGGGUGGCGCACGGGUGCGUAACGCGUAGGUAAUCUGCCCUGAGGUCUGACAUAACCCGUCGAAAGGCGGGCUAACAUCAGAUGAUAUAUAAUCACGACAUCGUGGAAAUAUCAAAUCUUCGGAGCCUUGGGAUGAGCCUGCGUCUGAUUAGGUAGUUGGCGGAGUAAUAGCCCACCAAGCCUACGAUCAGUAGCUGGUCUGAGAGGAUGAUCAGCCACACUGGAACUGAGACACGGUCCAGACUCCUACGGGAGGCAGCAGUAAGGAAUAUUGCUCAAUGGGGGAAACCCUGAAGCAGCAACGCCGCGUGAAGGAUGAAAUACUUUGUAUGUAAACUUCUGUAAGAUGGGAAAAAUAUUCUCCUCGGGAGAAUUGAUUGUACCAUCAGAGUAAGCCCCGGCUAACUACGUG
rnacentral:rRNA from 1 species